rnacentral:rRNA from 1 species
GACGAACGCUUUCGGCGUGCUUAACACAUGCAAGUCGAACGGAAAGGCCCUGCUUUUGUGGGGUGCUCGAGUGGCGAACGGGUGAGUAACACGUGAGUAACCUGCCCUUGACUUUGGGAUAACUUCAGGAAACUGGGGCUAAUACCGGAUAGGAGCUCCUGCUGCAUGGUGGGGGUUGGAAAGUUUCGGCGGUUGGGGAUGGACUCGCGGCUUAUCAGCUUGUUGGUGGGGUAGUGGCUUACCAAGGCUUUGACGGGUAGCCGGCCUGAGAGGGUGACCGGCCACAUUGGGACUGAGAUACGGCCCAGACUCCUACGGGAGGCAGCAGUGGGGAAUAUUGCACAAUGGGCGGAAGCCUGAUGCAGCAACGCCGCGUGCGGGAUGACGGCCUUCGGGUUGUAAACCGCUUUCGCCUGUGACGAAGCGUGAGUGACGGUAAUGGGUAAAGAAGCACCGGCUAACUACGUGCCAGCAGCCGCGGUGAUACGUAGGGUGCGAGCGUUGUCCGGAUUUAUUGGGCGUAAAGGGCUCGUGGGUGGUUGAUCGCGUCGGAAGUGUAAUCUUGGGGCUUAACCCUGAGCGUGCUUUCGAUACGGGUUGACUUGAGGAAGGUAGGGGAGAAUGGAAUUCCUGGUGGAGCGGUGGAAUGCGCAGAUAUCAGGAGGAACACCAGUGGCGAAGGCGGUUCUCUGGGCCUUUCCUGACGCUGAGGAGCGAAAGCGUGGGGAGCGAACAGGCUUAGAUACCCUGGUAGUCCACGCUGUAAACGGUGGGUACUAGGUGUGGGGUCCAUUCCACGGGUUCCGUGCCGUAGCUAACGCUUUAAGUACCCCGCCUGGGGAGUACGGCCGCAAGGCUAAAACUCAAAGGAAUUGACGGGGCCCCGCACAAGCGGCGGAGCAUGCGGAUUAAUUCGAUGCAACGCGUAGAACCUUACCUGGGUUUGACAUGGAUCGGGAGUGCUCAGAGAUGGGUGUGCCUCUUUUGGGGUCGGUUCACAGGUGGUGCAUGCCUGUCGUCAGCUCGUGUCGUGAGAUGUUGGGUUAAGUCCCGCAACGAGCGCAACCCUUGUUCACUGUUGCCAGCACGUUAUGGUGGGGACUCAGUGGAGACCGCCGGGGUCAACUCGGAGGAAGGUGGGGAUGACGUCAAGUCAUCAUGCCCCUUAUGUCCAGGGCUUCACGCAUGCUACAAUGGCUGGUACAGAGAGUGGCGAGCCUGUGAGGGUGAGCGAAUCUCGGAAAGCCGGUCUCAGUUCGGAUUGGGGUCUGCAACUCGACCUCAUGAAGUCGGAGUCGCUAGUAAUCGCAGAUCAGCAACGCUGCGGUGAAUACGUUCCCGGG